UAUAGAAACUUAUAUAACACAGAGAUUUGAUAAUUUUUUAAUUGUUGAAUAUUUUUUUUUUGUGCUAAUUUUUAUGUGAUUAAGAUUUAAUUGAUUUCGUAUAUAAAAUAUUAAU
rnacentral:sRNA from 1 species